rnacentral:rRNA from 1 species
GGGGAAUAUUGCACAAUGGGCGCAAGCCUGAUGCAGCAACGCCGCGUGCGGGAUGACGGCCUUCGGGUUGUAAACCGCUUUCAGCAGGGACGAAGCUAACGUGACGGUACCUGCAGAAGAAGCACCGGCUAACUACGUGCCAGCAGCCGCGGUGAUACGUAGGGUGCGAGCGUUGUCCGGAAUUAUUGGGCGUAAAGAGCUUGUAGGCGGUCUGUUGCGUCGGAAGUGAAAACUCAGAGCUCAACUCUGAGCCUGCUUUCGAUACGGGCAGACUUGAGGGAUGUAGGGGAGAACGGAAUUCCUGGUGGAGCGGUGGAAUGCGCAGAUAUCAGGAGGAACACCAGUGGCGAAGGCGGUUCUCUGGACAUUUCCUGACGCUGAGAAGCGAAAGCGUGGGGAGCAAACA